rnacentral:rRNA from 1 species
UAAGAGGUCCCGCCUGCCCAGUGACAGCAAGUUCAACGGCCGCGGUAUUCUGACCGUGCAAAGGUAGCGCAAUCAAUUGUCUUUUAAAUGAAGACCUGUAUGAAUGGCAUAACGAAGGCUUAACUGUCUCCUCUUCCAAGUCAAUGAAAUUGAUCUUCCCGUGCAGAAGCGGGAAUAAUACCAUAAGACGAGAAGACCCUAUGGAGCUUUAGACAAAAACAGACCUUGCUAAGCACCCCUUAUAAAGGACUAAGCCAAAUAGAACCUGUUUUAUGUCUUUGGUUGGGGCGACCGCGGGGAAAUAAAAAACCCCCAUGAGGACUGGAAACACUUUUCCACAGCCAAGAGCUCCCGCUCUAAGAAACAGAACAUCUGACCAUAAGAUCCGGCAUUGCCGAACAACGGACCGAGUUACCCUAGGGAUAACAGCGCAAUCCCCUUUAAGAGCCCUUAUCGACAAGGGGGCUUACGACCUCGAUGUUGGAUCAGGACAUCCUAAUGGUGCAACCGCUAUUAAGGGUUCGUUUGUUCAACG